GAUGAAGAACGUAGCGAAAUGCGAUAAGUAAUGCGAAUUGCAGAAUUCCAGUGAGUCAUCGAAUCUUUGAACGCACAUUGCGCCCUUUGGUAUUCCGAAGGGCAUGCCUGUUCGAGCGUCAUUAUCACCCCUCAAGCCCUCGGCUUGGUGUUGGACGGUUUGGUGGAGGCCCCCUCGGGGGCUCCUGCCCCUCCCAAAGACAAUGACGGCGGCUUCGUUGGACCCCCGGUACACUGAGUUCUUCACGGGACACGUAUCGGACACAUGGGUUUACGGGACACGGUCUGCCUCCCCUCAGGGAGAAUCUUUCUAAGGUUGACCUCGGAUCAGGUAGGGAUACCCGCUGAACUUAAGCAUAUCAAUAAGCGGAGGA
rnacentral:misc_RNA from 1 species